UCACAUUAAUAUGACUAGCGACUGGAGUCAGCACGCGGACUGCAGACGGACAGGUUUUAACUGCUGUUUCUCUGCGGUGUUAUUGAUUUGUUAAUAAUAUUAAUAUUACAGAAGUUUAAACAUGGCAGGACGAGUGAUCGGUGUUGCAGUUGAUGGAAGCAAGGAAAGUCAAAAUGCGUUUAAUUGGUGUAUUGAUAAUCUAUAUCGUGUCGGUGAUAGUGUUAUAAUUAUUCACGUAGCCGAAUUUAACCUGAGUGUCGGCGUAAUGCCAGACGUAGAUGCUAUAAGUAAACAAGUAAAAGAACAAGAAGAGAAAGUAUCAACACUCACUGGACUUUUAACAGAAACAUUAAAGAACAAACAAAUUCCAGGUAAAGUUGUUCGUGAAACUGGCAAACCAGGAGAAGCUAUCAUUGAUGUGGCACAAAGGGAAAAUAUUUCGUCGUUGGUAAUGGGAACACGGGGAUUAGGAUCAUUCAAACGCACUAUAUUAGGUAGCGUUAGUGAUUUUGUUCUACACAAUGCUAAUGUUCCAGUCACUGUUGUGCCUAGUUAACUACAUUACAUCGAUACAUUUGAAGUGUCUUUUGUCCUACACACAUGCACUCACCGUAGAAUACCAAUUAAUCUCUUAAUUCUCAGCUGUAAUGAGAAAAUAUAAGUACUUUCACUCAGAACAAUUAUUAUUAUUACUUUUAAUUGGCUGUUUUUGCUGUCAUAUAUAGGAUACUAGACAAAAUAGUUAUUGGAUAAUUUUGUACCUGUACUACUAAAUAACAACUAUAUAGAAUAACUGUAAUAUAUUGGUUGAAACUUU